rnacentral:rRNA from 1 species
ACCCGCACAAGCGGUGGAUGAUGUGGAUUAAUUCGAUGCAACGCGAAAACCUUACCUACCCUUGACAUGUCUGGAACCUUGGUGAGAGCCGAGGGUGCCUUCGGGAGCCAGAACACAGGUGCUGCAUGGCUGUCGUCAGCUCGUGUCGUGAGAUGUUGGGUUAAGUCCCGCAACGAGCGCAACCCUUGUCACUAGUUGCCAUCAUUUAGUUGGGCACUCUAGUGAGACUGCCGGUGACAAACCGGAGGAAGGUGGGGAUGACGUCAAGUCCUCAUGGCCCUUAUGGGUAGGGCUUCACACGUCAUACAAUGGUCGGUACAGAGGGUUGCCAACCCGCGAGGGGGAGCUAAUCCCACAAAGCCGAUCGUAGUCCGGAUCGCAGUCUGCAACUCGACUGCGUGAAGUCGGAAUCGCUAGUAAUCGUGGAUCAGCAUGUCACGGUGAAUACGUUCCCGGGUCUU